AUACUUACCAGGCAGGGGGGAUUUCAUGAUCUAGAAGGUGGUUUCCCCAGGGUGAGGCUCGCCCAUUACACUUCAGACAUGCUGACCUCUGUGAUUUCCCCAAAUGUGGGAAACUCGACUGCAUAAUUUGUGAUAAUUGGGGACUGCAUGUGCGCUCUCCCCUG